UGAGGAAUAUUGGUCAAUGGGCGCAAGCCUGAACCAGCCAUGCCGCGUGCAGGAAGACUGCCCUAUGGGUUGUAAACUGCUUUUAUAUAGGAAGAAAUGUACCUACGUGUAGGUAUUUGACGGUACUAUAAGAAUAAGCACCGGCUAACUCCGUGCCAGCAGCCGCGGUAAUACGGAGGGUGCAAGCGUUAUCCGGAAUCAUUGGGUUUAAAGGGUCCGUAGGCGGGCUAAUAAGUCAGAGGUGAAAUCCCACAGCUUAACUGUGGAACUGCCUUUGAUACUGUUAGUCUUGAGUUGUAUUGAAGUAGAUAGAAUGUGUAGUGUAGCGGUGAAAUGCAUAGAUAUUACACAGAAUACCGAUUGCGAAGGCAGUCUACUAAGUACAUACUGACGCUGAUGGACGAAAGCGUGGGGAGCGAACAGG
rnacentral:rRNA from 1 species